CAGUCGCGCGGUAAUACGUAGGUGGCAAGCGUUGUCCGGAAUUAUUGGGCGUAAAGGGCUCGCAGGCGGUUUCUUAAGUCUGAUGUGAAAGCCCCCGGCUCAACCGGGGAGGGUCAUUGGAAACUGGGAAACUUGAGUGCAGAAGAGGAGAGUGGAAUUCCACGUGUAGCGGUGAAAUGCGUAGAGAUGUGGAGGAACACCAGUGGCGAAGGCGACUCUCUGGUCUGUAACUGACGCUGAGGAGCGAAAGCGUGGGGAGCGAACAGGAUUAGAUACCCCGGUAGUCCCUGUCUCUUAUACA
rnacentral:rRNA from 1 species